rnacentral:lncRNA from 1 species
GUGCUUCACUAAGGUUAGAAUACUGACGGCUGGAAACAGAGCUCCAAGGAGCCACAGACACACUGCCAAGGCACGUAGCAUGACUGCAAGAGAGGAGGCAGGAGAUGUGGAAGAUCCGCCUAGCCAGAGGAAAGAAUUCAGAUUUGUAGCAGUGCUAAAUUUUCUCCAACACAUUUCAGGACAGUGACAAGGAAAUUAUGAGCCAACUCAAGGAGUAGGAGCUCGCUUGCCUCUCUUGUUUGCUAUUCCAGCAGGAAGCUGAGGCAGGGAGAUUGCUGUAAAUCAAAGCUACAAAAUGAGGCCUGGUCGGAAGUGAGGCCUUGUCACAAACAAAACAACGUGAUCAAAUAGCACCCUUUGAAAGCUGCUCAUUGCUGAUCCAGAAAUCCCUCUGUAAAAUAGCCUUCAGACUCCCCUAUUUCUCAUUCCCAUGGGACGCCCCCAGAGUGUGGACAGAAAUAGAGACUCUUGGAACUGCAUUGAACCCCAGACCUUUCAAAGCAUCCAUAACCGUGGGACAGAAGAGAGAAGGAGAUUCCAUUGCUCUUCGGUUUUUACCCAGUUGUCCCGUUACCUCAGUAAAGUUUCUUCUCCACAUUUAUUUA